AUUAAUAUGGCAGAUUAUUGUAAAGGAUUUAAGCUCCUUAUAAACUUUUUAGUUGUUAAUU
rnacentral:tRNA from 1 species